GAAGUACUCCCCCCGUCCCAAAAUUCUUGUCUUAGAUUUGUCUACAUGUGGAUGUAUCUAUUCACAUUUUAGUGUUGGAUACAUCUAUGCAUAGAUAAAUCUAAGACAAAGAUUUUAAGACGAAGGAAGUAUAAG
rfam:Triticum aestivum genome assembly, contig: Triticum_aestivum_CS42_TGACv1_scaffold_405879_5BL